rnacentral:rRNA from 1 species
ACAUGCUUACAACAUAGAGUUAAUGCAUCAGGUCCCAUUAGAACUCCACAUUUAAGCAUGCUCGAUCUAGAGUAGUACUGGGAUGGGUGACUGCUCGAGACGUACUAGUAUUUUACAUGCC